rnacentral:rRNA from 1 species
GACGGAGGAGGCUAGCGUUGUUCGGAAUUACUGGGCGUAAAGCGCGCGCAGGCGGUCCUGCAAGUCAGGGGUGAAAGCCCGGGGCUCAACCUCGGAACUGCCCUUGAGACUGCGGGACUCGAGACCGGGAGAGGAGAGUGGAAUUCCCAGUGUAGAGGUGAAAUUCGUAGAUAUUGGGAAGAACACCAGUGGCGAAGGCGGCCCACUGGAUCGGUACUGACGCUGAGGUGCGAAAGCGUGGGGAGCAAACAGG